GUUAAAUCGUCCUCUAGUUCUGUAUUCGAUGAUUCAGACAACUUUCCUUUUUCAUUCUUUCUCAUUCUACUUCCUUAACUUCCCGACAGCUUAGAAGCUCACCCAUGGGCGAGUGAGCCGCAUGUGAAACUGCUUUCCUGUUGGAAGAGUGCUCCACUACACCGGUGACAUCAUCCUGUGUGUGUUCCUGCUCUGAGGACUUAAAGGAGGUUGAACUUGAUUUCCCCUUCCUUGAGUGUGGAUUGCACUUAGUGACUCACUCCAAAGAAAAGACAGUGCAGAAGGAAAUCAACAGUGGCACAGUUUGGAACCAUCUUAACCAGGUGAUGAAAGUUUACUCACUAGUGAUAAGUCACGCCAAUAUUAG
rnacentral:lncRNA from 1 species